GAAUAAAAAGCGAAGUUAACGCGAUCGGUUUCGGCCCGAUUUUUGGUAAUGUUAUGCCUUUAUUUU
rnacentral:tRNA from 1 species